rnacentral:tRNA from 1 species
AGGGCAGUAGCUCAGUUGGCAGAGCACCGGUCUCCAAAACCGGCGGUCGGGGGUUCGAGUCCCUCCUGCCCUG